AUGAUGAUGAUCAUGAAACUUCAGAUCAAGUUACUACAAGAAUCUCGUAGGUCUUCCAGAGUACGGUCCGCACCAAAGUGGUAUGGUAAUCCUGUUCUGAAAGUCAUGUUACUAGACCAUGAUAAACCUACGAACUAUGAGGAAGCGAUGAUGAGCCCAGAUUCCGCAAAAUGGCUGGAGGCCAUGAAAUCUGAGAUAGGAUCCAUGUAUGAGAACAAAGUAUGGACUUUGAUGGACUUGCCCGAUGAUUGGCAAGCCAUAGAAAAUAAAUGGCUCUUCAAGAGGAAGACGGACGUUGAUAGUAGUGUUACUAUCUACAAAGCUAGACUUGUCGAAAAAGGUUUUUGA
rnacentral:rRNA from 1 species